rnacentral:rRNA from 1 species
GAAAGACCCUAUGAAGCUUUACUGUAACUUGGAAUUGAAGUUGGGUUUACUUUGUGCAGAAUAGGUGGGAGGCUAAGAUAAUAUAUUUGAGGAUAUAUAGGAGCCGUCAGUGAGAUACCACUCUAAGUACACUAGGCUUCUAACCUUGAAAGCCGUUAACCGGCCAAGGAACAGUUUCAGGCGGGCAGUUUGACUGGGGCGGUCGCCUCCUAAAAGGUAACGGAGGCGUACAAAGGUUUUCUCAAGCUGGUCAGAAAUCAGUUUUAGAGUAUAAAGGCAAAAGAAAGCUUGACUGCAAGACCUACAAGUCGAGCAGAGACGAAAGUCGGUCUUAGUGAUCCGACAGUUCUGAGUGGAAAGGCUGUCGCUCAACGGAUAAAAGUUACUCUAGGGAUAACAGG